UCUGCAUCCCUAGUGAACCCUAGCUGUUUCCUCCCUGCGCUUCAUCUCUUUUCUCUGCAUCUAAUGUGAUCUUUCCCGCACCACAUUCUUCACACAAGGCCUCUUAUUGUUCGUGAAGCUAUUCAGUUUGGGUUCGUCUUGGUCUUCCGUUGCUUAGGAACGAAAAUCUGGUGCAUUUGUGGGCUGAGCGAGGCUGACCGUCAAGAUAUUGUUCGUCGAACGUCCUGGUGCCUCCAAUGGAGGGGCUCUGGCGUGUGUUCGCUCCCGCACCGACUAAGCCGACCUUUAAUUACUGUUGUCUUGGACUAUGCUGGCCUGGAAGCUGAAGCCUCUUACGGUUCUAUCCUCCAUAGAACUGCUUUUAUGACAGCAAAUGUGUUGGCAAGUCCCCAGUCAAAGAUGAAACGUAGCAAUACGAGUAAAUUUUCAUGAAACGCUGCACCAGAUGCAAGUCAUGGUUCUCUGUGUGUAUUUGUAGACUUAAUUGUAGUUUUAAUUAUAGAGGAUAAGCAUAAAUGUUUUUGUAGACUUACUUGUACAAUAAAUGUUUUUGUAAUGUUUUUGGCAUUCUAUAGAAGCAAUGUAGCACAUUAGUCUAAUAGUUAGGUGAAGGAGGGAUAUGAAAGUAUGGAGUGUUUGUAAAUGUUUAUAUGCAUUUGGCAGAGUGAAUGACAAUUGACUGAGAUUGUUCUCAAGGAAUUGUUUGAUAUUUAAAAGAUUUUAUCCUAAAAAUAAGAGUAUUAAAUCUGGCUAAAAUCUGUUCCAGAUUUGGAAAUAAACA